rnacentral:rRNA from 1 species
UACGUAGGGGGCAAGCGUUGUCCGGAAUCAUUGGGCGUAAAGAGCGUGUAGGCGGUUCGGUAAGUCGGCUGUGAAAGUCCAGGGCUCAACCCUGGGAUGCCGGUCGAUACUGCCGGACUAGAGUUCGGAAGAGGCGAGUGGAAUUCCCGGUGUAGCGGUGGAAUGCGCAGAUAUCAGGAAGAACACCGACGGCGAAGGCAGCUCGCUGGGACGGUACUGACGCUGAGGCGCGAAAGCGUGGGGAGCGAACAGG